rnacentral:tRNA from 1 species
UUAAUUGAAACCAAAAAGAGGUAUUUCAUUGUUAAUGAAAUUAUUGAAUUUAAUUCCAAUUAAA